AGUCAUGUGGUGAACACAAAGCGAACUAUUCUUUCGCCUUUUACUAAAGAAUACCGUGUGUUCGUUACGCUUUAAUGACAUAAUUUAAUUUUUGUUGGGUUUCAUUUGAAUUUU
rnacentral:snRNA from 1 species